rnacentral:rRNA from 1 species
AUUGAACGCUGGCGGCAGGCCUAACACAUGCAAGUCGAGCGAGAAAGCCCUUCGGGGUGAGUACAGCGGCGGACGGGUGAGUAACGCGUGGGAAUCUGCCCAGUAGUGGGGGACAACAGCCGGAAACGGCUGCUAAUACCGCAUACGCCCUACGGGGGAAAGCAGGGGAUCUUCGGACCUUGUGCUAUUGGAUGAGCCCGCGUCAGAUUAGCUUGUUGGUGGGGUAAUGGCCUACCAAGGCGACGAUCUGUAGCUGGUCUGAGAGGAUGAUCAGCCACAUCGGGACUGAGACACGGCCCGAACUCCUACGGGAGGCAGCAGUGGGGAAUAUUGGACAAUGGGGGCAACCCUGAUCCAGCCAUGCCGCGUGUGUGAAGAAGGCCUUCGGGUUGUAAAGCACUUUCAGCGAGGAGGAAAGCCUGAUGGCUAAUACCCAUCGGGGGUGACGUUACUCGCAGAAGAAGCACCGGCUAACUCCGUGCCAGCAGCCGCGGUAAUACGGAGGGUGCAAGCGUUAAUCGGAAUUACUGGGCGUAAAGCGCACGUAGGCGGCGAGUUAAGCUAGCUGUGAAAAGCCCCGGGCUCAACCUGGGAACUGCAGUUAGAACUGGCUAGCUAGAGUACGGUAGAGGAGUGUGGAAUUUCCUGUGUAGCGGUGAAAUGCGUAGAUAUAGGAAGGAACAUCAGUGGCGAAGGCGACACUCUGGACUGAUACUGACGCUGAGGCGCGAAAGCGUGGGGAGCAACAGGAUUAGAUACCCUGGUAGUCCACGCCGUAAACGAUGUCUACUAGCCGUUGGGAGCCUUGAGCUCUUAGUGGCGCAGCUAACGCACUAAGUAGACCGCCUGGGGAGUACGGCCGCAAGGUUAAAACUCAAAUGAAUUGACGGGGGCCCGCACAAGCGGUGGAGCAUGUGGUUUAAUUCGACGCAACGCGAAGAACCUUACCAGGCCUUGACAUCCUUGGAACUUAGCAGAGAUGCUUUGGUGCCUUCGGGAGCCAAGUGACAGGUGCUGCAUGGCUGUCGUCAGCUCGUGUCGUGAGAUGUUGGGUUAAGUCCCGUAACGAGCGCAACCCUUGUCCUUAGUUGCCAGCACGUAAUGGUGGGAACUCUAAGGAGACUGCCGGUGACAAACCGGAGGAAGGUGGGGACGACGUCAAGUCAUCAUGGCCCUUACGGCCUGGGCUACACACGUGCUACAAUGGGCGGUACAAAGGGUUGCCAAUCCGCGAGGUGGAGCUAAUCCCGAAAAACCGUUCGUAGUCCGGAUUGGAGUCUGCAACUCGACUCCAUGAAGUCGGAAUCGCUAGUAAUCGUGAAUCAGAAUGUCACGGUGAAUACGUUCCCGGGCCUUGUACACACCGCCCGUCACACCAUGGGAGUGGGUUGCACCAGAAGUGGCUAGUCUAACCUCGGAGGACGGUCACCACGGUGUGAUUCAUGACUGGGGUG